UACGAAGGGGGCUAGCGUUGCUCGGAAUCACUGGGCGUAAAGCGCACGUAGGCGGGUUCUUAAGUCAGGGGUGAAAUCCUGGAGCUCAACUCCAGAACUGCCUUUGAUACUGGGAAUCUCGAGUCCGGGAGAGGUGAGUGGAACUGCGAGUGUAGAGGUGAAAUUCGUAGAUAUUCGGAAGAACACCAGUGGCGAAGGCGACUCACUGGACACAUAUUGACGCUGAGGUGCGAAAGCGUGGGGAGCAAACAGG
rnacentral:rRNA from 1 species